rnacentral:rRNA from 1 species
GACGAACGCUGGCGGCGUGCUUAACACAUGCAAGUCGAACGGAAAGGCCCUGCUUUUGUGGGGUGCUCGAGUGGCGAACGGGUGAGUAACACGUGAGUAACCUGCCCUUGACUUUGGGAUAACUUCAGGAAACUGGGGCUAAUACCGGAUAGGGGCUCCUGCUGCAUGGUGUGGGUUGGAAAGUUUCGGCGGUUGGGGAUGGACUCGCGGCUUAUCAGCUUGUUGGUGGGGUAGUGGCUUACCAAGGCUUUGACGGGUAGCCGGCCUGAGAGGGUGACCGGCCACAUUGGGACUGAGAUACGGCCCAGACUCCUACGGGAGGCAGCAGUGGGGAAUAUUGCACAAUGGGCGGAAGCCUGAUGCAGCAACGCCGCGUGCGGGAUGACGGCCUUCGGGUUGUAAACCGCUUUCGCCUGUGACGAAGCGUGAGUGACGGUAAUGGGUAAAGAAGCACCGGCUAACUACGUG